ensembl:lncRNA
GAAACCUGAAGCACAAGCUUGAAGUGCACGUCUGGGUGUUUCGUGACAUUGACUUUACUUUUGACACUUUGUUAUGUUUUAUUAUGGUUUUACAUCCUGUCUCCGCCCCUGUAUUGUUAUUGGUUGUUUCCCGUAUGUGUCAUCAUUGGACUCAGUUUUGUGUUUCACCCUUGAUUACGUUUAGUAUUUAAACCCCUCGUGCCUCAUUGUUCGUCGCGAAGUAUUGUGUGAGUGUUACCACUGUAGCAAGCCUUUGUAUUUGUGUUUUGGUUCAUGGUUUUGGAUCUUGUUUCUCAUUUCGUGCUUUGCCUUGCCUGUUUCAUGCCCGUUUGCCAAUCACCUGACCCUUUGCCUGUUUUGACCAUGCUUCACGAUUUGGAUUGGUCUGCCCGCCUCUCUUACGUGGCAGAAUUUAGAGCCUUCCCAGGUUCACAGCAAUUCUCCGACCUAUCAACUACUAACUUUGGGGAUAUAAUUCAAUCUGAAAGCCAUUAAUCAUUUAAUGUUGAUAAAUGAUAUAUUAUGAUUGAUAUCUCUUACUGUAUUGUAUUCCCACAAUACAGUACGAGAUUUUUCAGUCUCUUAACUGGAUUGUCAGUAUGACCUUUUAAUAAAGCAUGCAUUAUGAAGUAUUGACUGAAAUAUUGACUUGCAAAAAAUAUUCAUGGCCAGUUUACACAUGCUAUCUGGGGAUGCAUCUGUAAUCCCCGUUCAGAGCACGGACAACUUAAAUUCUUCUAUUGAUAAUAAUAACCCUGAACCUGGUGUUCAUUGAUUGCGUCAUGAUGUGGCAAUAGCUGUCGGGACACAAACCUCGUCGGUGUCAUCUUGACAUUCCUGUAAAUAGCACAAUCACAGGAGGUGAUAUUAACACGUUAGUUGCAAGUGCGUCAGCCUUCACUCUUUAACGUUUUAAACUCUCAGAUCCAGUCUAACAUUCAUUAGUCUAGUAACUACAUUCCCUUUCCUUAUUAGCUUCACUCUAGUUACUGCAUCAUUUAUUCUCGAUCCUAAAUAACAUGCUUUCCAAUGAAUAGCUGGGAUUUAGAAAAGUCUGAUUUUUAAGUGCCGUGGGAACUAAUUCAAUCGUUUCCAUAAUCUGCGCUAAUAAAGGGAAGCUUCAGCUGGAUUAACAGUAAGUAAUUGAUGGUAAUCAAUUAAUGGAUUUUUAACAAUUGUGCUUUGUUAUUUGAUCUCCAGAGGUGACGUAAACGUGAGACGAGACAGCCGAUUGGACAGUACACUCGCGGAAUCUGACGGAGACUCACAGGAGGAGAGCGAGGACGAUGACGAAGAUGAAGAUGAAGAGUCCACGGCCAGCGACGGAGAAGAAGUGUCGGGAUCAUCGUGGCUACGCUGCGUCCUCCAGUGAGAGAGAGAGAGAAAUGAGAGAGACCAAGACAGGAAGAGCUAGAACGUGAGGUGUGAAGUUUAGCAGAUUGAGCGGGUGGCGGCAGGGCAAAGAGCGCGGAUGGACAACAGCUUGUUCUUCAUGUAAAUCUUGCAUCAUGGAGCCAAUAAACGUGCCAUGCUAUGACUGUGUGUGUGUGUCUGAGAUUAUUUAUCAUCUCUGGCAUUUCUGUCUAUAAAUAUCAGGAUACCUCUUCAUCGUGCACUCCUCCACCCAGCGCCAAAUUAAUGCGUAUUGAUUUUUUUUUACUGCCUCUAUUUUGUUGAUCCUGUCUGUCCUCCUGAAACGAACGAAAUACUUUUUCUCCCUUCCCUGUUCUCAGACAGAAUAUGAUGAAAUUGUUUCUCCGUUUUAUCUUUUGGUUUCUGUUUUCAAAAUGCGUUCCAUUUUCCGCUUCUGUUCGGUUAAACUGAACCAGUUGAAAAGCAUAAUUAGCAUUUAAAUCUGUCUUUUACAGGAACAACCAUCUCUCUCACACUCUCUCUCUCUCUCUAAUACUCUUUCUCUCAAGCUAUCUCUAUCAUGCUCUCUCUCUUUCUUGUUUAUGUUCUUUCUCUCUCACUUAUGCCCUCUCUCUCUCUCUCUCUCUCUCUCUCACUCACUCUCUCUCUCCAUGUCUCUGUCGCUAAGGCAACCAAUGCUUUUUCUCACUCUGACACACUCUGGCUCUCUCCCA